GGUGGGAUUGCUGUGACUGGAAAUGGCCAUUCAUUCACAAGUUUUCGGAACUGCCAGUGGAGAGAAGAGAAAAAAUACUAAUGAAAUGGUCAAGCAAUGGCCAUCAUCGCUUACCUCUAAGAGCUGUUUUUGCAUUGAUCAAAACUUACUGCUUGUUCAUCUUUUUCUCCAUGGUAAACUCUUUACCUUUUCCAUUAAUUUUUCCUCAUCCAUCUUCCUCCUAUCUUCUUAUAAAAUAUUAGGUAAACUACACCUUUGAUACUUAACUAAAAAACUUACAAUUAGAUCACUAAAUUAUUUUAAAAAUUUCAUUCAAAUCAUUAAACUAUUAAAAAGUUUUAUAUAAAUCACUAAAUUGUUAGUUUUUUCCUUUUAAAAUUUUAUCAAUAAACUUCAAGUGAUGAUUUCACCAUUAGUACGGUGAAUCAGUAUCCCAUCAGCAAAUAGAAGAAUAUAAACCUUAAAUCAAAAUCAAUCUAACGGUCAGUAUCAAAUAUCGAAAAAAAGAUUGUUUGAACUUUGGUUUGCAGAUUUGUGUCAUCUAAAAUUGUUUCAUUAAAAAUAACUAAACUAUGGAAGAGAAAGAGAAAGGGGGUUUUAGAUUGGUACAUGUAGUUAAAAAAACCAUAUAGUAGCGAUUUUAAUAGUCUAAUGACUUACAUGAAAAUUUUUAAAUAGUUUAGUGAUCAAAUUAUAACUUUUUUAGUUAAAACUUAUCUAUAAUUUAGUGACUAAUUGAGUAGUUUACCCAAUUUACCUAAAAUAAUAUAAUGUAAUAUUAUCCUUUCCUUUACAGAAUGCGUUUAAUAAUUAUUAAAUUGUUUUUACUAAUCCAGAUUGGCUAAUAUAUGCCUUAAAAUGGGUUCAAGAAUCAAAACUAAAAAUACUAUUUGCUCAAAUAAAGAAAGAAAUGAAAAAGACUGAUGAAAGUAUAAUUGUCGUAAUUCAUUUUAUAUGUCAAAAAACCAAAAGGACAUGAAAAUUUUAUGAAUACACCCAGGUGUAUGAAUUUUUUAAAAUUUAUAUAACGCUUGAUUAUAUAAAUAUAUUUGUUGGAUAAUAGUUCUAGUGUUUCGUGCAUGAGAGAGCUGUUAUCAUAAUUAGUGCAUUUUAAAGGAAUUAAGAUACGAUUUGAUUACAUGGAAUCAAGAACAUAAUGAUUAAUACUUGAUGUGUAAGUCAAUAACGAACAAGGUUAGCUUUUGAAAUUUGUGUCUCAGACUGAUGAAAAAUCAGAGAACCCAUCAUGGAAAGCAAUAGGAUACAACGUAGACAAGCGGCAGAAAAGGGUAUCUUCUCCUCAUGGGCGAAAGG
rnacentral:lncRNA from 1 species